GGGGCUAUAGCUCAGCUGGGAGAGCUUUGCACGCAGGAGGUCUGCGGUUCGAUCCCGCAUAGCUCCACCA
rnacentral:tRNA from 1 species